GACGAACGCUGGCGGCAUGCCUAAUACAUGCAAGUCGAGCGAACAGAUGAAGUGCUUGCACUUCUGACGUUAGCGGCGAACGGGUGAGUAACACGUAAGGAAUCUACCUAUAAGCGGGGGAUAACAUUCGGAAACGGGUGCUAAUACCGCAUAAUAUCUUCUUCCGCAUGGAAGAAGAUUGAAAGACGGCUCUGCUGUCACUUAUAGAUGACCUUGCGGUGCAUUAGUUAGUUGGUGGGGUAACGGCCUACCAAGACGAUGAUGCAUAGCCGACCUGAGAGGGUGAUCGGCAACAGUGGGACUGAGGCACGGCCCAAACUCCUACGGGAGGCAGCAGUAUGGAAUCUUCCGCAAUGGGCGAAAGCCUGACGGAGCAAUGCCGCGCGAGUGAGGGAGGCCUUCGGGUCGUAAAACUCUGUUAUAAGAGAAGAACAAAUUGUAGAGUAACUGCUACAGUCUUGACGGUAUCUUAUCAGAAAGCCACGGCUAACUACGUGCCAGCCGCCGCCGUAA
rnacentral:rRNA from 1 species